UCUGACCAAAUUUGGGUCGAGUGCUGCCAAUGAUCUAGUGCCACCAUCGGGUCCAAUUUGGGCCUAAUUUGUAAGCAUGUUUAUGGUCAUAACUUUUUUAACCGUGUGUCCAAAUUAAAAGCCCUAGAUCCCUGGAUUCCCUGGGUUGGGAUGAGUUCAACACACCCUGUGAUGUUAAUUUCUGUCUAGUGAGAUUAUCUGCCAUCUUUGUUUUUUUUUCAAAAACUGUUGUUUUUUUUUUUAUUUGCUACUCCUCCUACAAAUUUUGACCAAUCAUCAUUACAUUUGGCACACAUCAUCUUCAGAGUAAAUCUCAGUUUGCUCAUAAUGGGCCAAUGAAUCUGGCAGCAAAGCCACCAAACAGGAAGUGAGGCUGAAUCUCAGCAACAACUUUGCAAGGCAUCUUCAGGACCAUGACCUGUGGCUAUGCAAUAAAUUUUGUGCCAGUGCCACAUAACGGUCAAAAGUUACAAUAACAUGCUAACAUGCUUAUAUCUAACUGUCAUUUUUACUACUCCUCUUCCAAAUUCUGUCAAAUAAUUUUGAGACCAAUUUUCCAUUGAUAACAAAAGUUAUCAGUGCAAAACUGGUGUUCUGUAAUGUUCUGGCAAAUGGAAAAACAGUAUGUGAUGGUGUUUCUAACGUUACUAGAGAAAGAGAAAAUUAUGCACGGUGACCUGAAACCCACAUAGAUGGGGAGAAGACAGAGUGUAUAAACUAGCAGCACAGACUAGGCUUGAUCAGUUUCAAAUCAAACUGGCCUGUGCUCAAAGAGGGUGAUAAUCUUUUAAUCUCAUAGGGUUAAAUGAGAGUCUCACUUGUCCCUUUUCUCUCUAAAGAGGAAUAUAAUGCAAACAGAGAAAGGCCAGGGCAUCAAGCUGAUCGAUUUUGGAGGAAGCAGCUUUGAGCAGAUGAAUCAUGAGCAAAACUGUUUUUGUGCAUUCUUGUGUAUGUGUAUCAGGAGCCAUGUGGGCCAUUUUAAACUUCUCUUCUUCUAUCGUUUUCAUUUCUUUUCCUCUGCAGAGUUCUCGGGUGCCCAUACCCGUUUCUACUGCCCUCCAGUGGUGAUAAUUAAACAUCAAUCUACCACUGCUACUGGACAUGUGGAGUCUGGGCUGUAUCCUGGCUGAGCUCCACACUGGCUGGCAUCUCUUUCAUGGAGUGCCUGUCUAUGAUCAAAUAGCCCUCAUCAUGGAGGUGCUUGGAAUGCCUCCAAUUGAAUUUGUCCAGGAGGAAAGCACUUUUUUCUAUGUAUUUUCAUACAGACCAUAAAGGAAGAUACAGGAAUAUAUAUGACAGCAAAGACAGGAAGAUAAAUCCUGGUUCCAAGGAUCUACAGGGAAUUCUGGAUAGUGAUGAUCUUCAGUUCCUGACUUUAUCCAGCACUGCCUAAAAUGGAACCCUGAGCAGCGCCUCACUCCAACGGAGACUAUGAAGCAACCGUGGCUUCAGAAUGGAGAUGACAGCAUUGCUUUACCAAGCCUCCCUUUAAGACUUUAGUGAAGAAGUAUUCAGUGUUCAGGGAGAAUGAAGAGUGGAAUCUCAAGGGCCAUGGCCAAAAUUGCGAACUACACAGCCGUGGCAAACAGGAGGCAUUGUUUUACCAGCAGAAAUUACUACCAGAAAAUGCUGCCAGUGGAACGGACAGCUGGACUAUUCAUCAACCGACCCACUGCUUUUUGCACUUCACCUGUUUUGUUUGUGUUUGUAAUAGAUUUAAUUAGAUAAUCAAACUGAGUUAUUCAAAUCUCUGACUGCAGAUGUAUGCUCCUCAUUGUGCCCACUAUGUGCCCUACAAUAGUAUUUCGACCUCCAAAGUUUCUUGUCAAUCAGAAACCAGUGCUAACCCAGCAAAAACCCAUUUCAGGUAAAAAUGUCUGAUUUAUUGCAAAUGUGGUGUCAUGCACGAUUUUGUGAUUUUGUUGUUGAAGUUUUCUUUUUGUUGUUUUGUUGAAGUUAGCAUGUGUGUGCACAAGAAGGUAUCCAGGUUAUUUUCACCACUCUUAGAGGUUAGCAGGGGUGAAAUAGAAGCAGAUAUGCUCAGAGAUUAAAUCAGAGGAAAUCAUAAAUACAUUUUAAAAAACAUGUUAAAAUUCCAUACACUCAAAUCCAAUUAUUUAACCAAAUAACUGUUUUACUGCCACAUUUCUGGUUGUGACUCACUUGACCUUUAGAAUGGUUGAGGCAAUAGUAAUUUAUUGAUGGUAUUUUGCUUAGAAUUAAUUAAGGUAUUAUGCACUGAAGGAAUUGUGUACGUAAAAUGUUAACAUUGCCUGUUAUGGCUAUAAUAUUUAUAGUUAAUUACAUCCUGGAUGUAUUCAAGAUGUUACAAGUGAACUCAAGUAUUAAGUUGUAUGCCAGAUGCCUUUCCUGAAACAACCCUCCCCAUUUUCUAGGCUUCUGGGACCGGCACUGGCUAGUGCAAUGCUCCAGUGCCUGGGGGUGGUGCCCUGACAUGGAAUUGAUCCCGGGCCAUGGCAAUGCGAGCACUGCAUGCAAGCCACUAGUGCACCAGGAAAUCCAAGCAAUGUCAACAAAUACCAUACUUAAAUUAGACUUUAUUUAAAAAACAAAAUUUGUGUCGUCUGUGUGCUUUUCUUACUAUUUUACCACUCUGACAGAGUUUCUUACACUGAUUGUAUUCUUAGUGCAUGACCUAAUGAACCAGUAGCACUUCUGUAGUUCACUCUGGAAAAGGGCAUCUGCCAAAUGUCAUAAAUGUAAUGUAAAUGUAAAAUACUGCUUAAAGUGUAUGUAAUUUUUUCUCCCACUGAAAAUAUGAUAUAGUAAAUACAAGCUGAA